AUGGCGCCUUCACAAAAGAAUCUCUAUGCGACCGUGCUCCUAAUUGUCAUCGUGACCGCCGUAUGUCCACUGUAUUCAAUGGCAUCUGCAUGCGCUGAGCCGAGUCAAUGCCGGCACCCGAGUGGCAAUUAUAGAGGACCGUGCUUUGGCUUUUCCCACGGUUGCAAUAUUACAUGCCAAGAUGAAAGCUCUGAUAACAUGUGGGGUGAGUGUGAUUGCGACUUUAAAUGCUACUGCUAUACAUGCUGGUCUGAGAUUGUUGCUGUUGCUAGCGCUCCGAUACAGCCAUGA
rnacentral:rRNA from 1 species